rnacentral:rRNA from 1 species
CCUACGGGCGGCUGCAGUAGGGAAUCUUCCACAAUGGACGAAAGUCUGAUGGAGCAACGCCGCGUGUGUGAUGAAGGGUUUCGGCUCGUAAAACACUGUUGUAAGAGAAGACUGACACUGAGAGUAACUGUUCAGUGUGUGACGGUAUCUUACCAGAAAGGACCGGCUAAAUACGUGGCAGAACCCGCGGUAAUACCAAUGUUCCAAGCGGUUGCCGGAGUGAGUGGGCGUAAAGCGAGCGCAGACGGUUAUUUAAGUCCGAAGUGAAAUCCUAGAGCUUAACUGUGGAAGUGCUUUGGAAACUGGAGAACUUGAGUGCAGUAGAGGAGAGUGGAACUCCAUGUGUAGCGGUGAAAUGCGUAGAUAUAUGGAAGAACACCAGUGGCGAAGGCGGCUCUCUGGACUGUAACUGACGUUGAGGCUCGAAAGUGUGGGUAGCAAACAGGAUUAGAUACCCCAGUAGUC